rnacentral:ribozyme from 1 species
UUUUUUUUUUUUUUUUUGGUUUUUUUUUUUUUUUUUUUUUCAUCAUCACUACCUCUAGCGAGCGAGCAGCAUAACAAUAGCUUGGUAAAAUACAACGAUUGGUCAUUUGAAAAAAGACACUGCAACGUGGCAAUUAUUUAAUAAUCUCUUC